UGCAGAUUAUUAUUGGACAAACAGCUUCCAACGGUACUGUGCUGCCCCCUCGAACUGCGACAUCAGCGUGGCUGUUAACUUUGACUUUUUCCGUAGCACUUGGAUGUCAACGUGCUGCCUCUCUGGUUUGUGCAACAACAACAAUGUUAACGUGUCCAACAUUCCCAAUGGACUUGUGUGCUGCGGUGGAACUGGUGGCUUCUGUCAGAAUCUUGUGUAUUGCGUGGAUGAUGAAGAUCACUGCAUCACAUCAGUUACAGGUUGGACUCAGUACAUGGGAUGUUCUUCAAGAUGGGUCUGUGACAAUCCCGCAAACGCAAGUGCCAUUUUGAACUUCAACGUUGGCCUGCCCGUCAGCUGCUGCCAAGGGAACUUCUGUAACAAACCAA